GAGUUUGAUCCUGGCUCAGAUUGAACGCUGGCGGAAUGCUUUACACAUGCAAGUCGAGCGGCAGCGCGGGGCAACCUGGCGGCGAGCGGCGAACGGGUGAGUAAUGCAUCGGAACAUGUCCAUGUCGUGGGGGAUAGCCCGGCGAAAGCCGGAUUAAUACCGCAUACGCCCGAGAGGGGAAAGUGGGGGACCGCAAGGCCUCACGCGAUUGGGUUGGCCGAUGUCCGAUUAGCUAGUUGGCGGGGUAAAGGCCCACCAAGGCGAUGAUCGGUAGCUGGUCUGAGAGGAUGAUCAGCCACACUGGGACUGAGACACGGCCCAGACUCCUACGGGAGGCAGCAGUGGGGAAUUUUGGACAAUGGGGGCAACCUGAUCCAGCCAUUCCGCGUGAGUGAAGAAGGCCUUCGGUUGUAAG
rnacentral:rRNA from 1 species